UACGAAGGGGGCUAGCGUUGCUCGGAAUCACUGGGCGUAAAGGGUGCGUAGGCGGGUCUUUAAGUCAGGGGUGAAAUCCUGGAGCUCAACUCCAGAACUGCCUUUGAUACUGAGGAUCUUGAGUUCGGGAGAGGUGAGUGGAACUGCGAGUGUAGAGGUGAAAUUCGUAGAUAUUCGCAAGAACACCAGUGGCGAAGGCGGCUCACUGGCCCGAUACUGACGCUGAAGCGCGAAAGCGUGGGGAGCAAACGGG
rnacentral:rRNA from 1 species